rnacentral:rRNA from 1 species
UACGUAGGGAGCAAGCGUUGUCCGGAAUCAUUGGGCGUAAAGAGCGCGUAGGUGGCUUUAUAAGUCCGUUGUGAAAGUCAAAGGCUCAACCUUUGAAAGCCGAUGGAUACUGUGAAGCUAGAGUACGGAAGAGGCGAGUGGAAUUCCUGGUGUAGCGGUGGAAUGCGCAGAUAUCAGGAGGAACACCAUUGCGAAGGCAGCUCGCUGGGACGUUACUGACGCUGAGACGCGAAAGCGUGGGGAGCGAACAGG